rnacentral:lncRNA from 1 species
GAUGGGUCCAGAAGAUCCACUGAACUUCCAAGCUGCCCCCACUAGGGAAGAAGAGACACCAUGAAAAUAGACAAAUCAAGUGAAAGGAAGGCUGUAAGUUCCUGAUAAAACAGGAAUGAUGUUGCAGACAACAGGCCUCAGGGAAGAAGUUCUGAAGACAUUAGAACAGAGGAAGAAGAACUGACUUAAUUUGCUCAGAUUAUUACUCUUCUGGUUACUCCUAGCUCAGUAAGCCAUGCCUUCUGAGAGACUGGAUAAAGGGAUGCCUUGAGUCACUGCUAGAAGGAGCUCUCCUGUCUUCCUUCUUGUCUCUGCAAGAGGCUUCAUCUCUACUAAUCAGUGAUCAAGUUCAUUUGAAAAGGAAUAGACCAGGCAAUAAGCCUGGGAACUUCGAAAGGUAAAGGUUAGAAGAGCUGCCCUGAGAUCCAGCAAAGUCCCUGGCAGAGGCUGCCAUUACUGGAGCACAUUAUCCUGGAGUGGCC